CAGGGCACCUAUGAGUGGGGCACUGAGGAAUGAUAAUAAGCCCUUUACUCCUUGAAUUAGACCAUUCAUUAGAAAUGUAUGUUUUGGAAAGGUUUCAUGCAAAACCAUCAGAGUGGGUGCUGUCAGGAGUCCCCAAGCAAAAAACUCCAAAAAUAUCACUAUCACAGCAUGGUAGACGCUAGGUGAGCCUAUUCCUUGAGGCGUCCCUCCAUCCUUAAUGAUGAUUUUCUUGGCCAGCAUGAUGCUGCGGUUCACGGCGCGUUUCUUCUUCUUCCCCCCCUGGGUCAUUUUACCAUCCUCCCUGGGAGGGAGCGGGGGCAGCGCGGACCGUCCCCACAGACAGACCUGCCCGUUCCUCCCGCGCGGCCGCAGCCACCUCUCAGGCACACGCCGCCAUCUUGUUCCACCGCCCCAG
rnacentral:lncRNA from 1 species